ACGUUCGGGUAAUCGCUGCAAUAAGCUUAAUGCGAAUUGUUGAGGAAAGUCCAUGCUCGCACAGGCUGAGAUGCCUGUAGUGUUCGUGCCUAGCGAAACGAUAAGCUAGGGCAGUUGGGUGUAAACCAGCUGACGGCCGGGAAAAUACCUAAGUCCUUCUCGGAUAUGGUAUGAAUACCUAUAAAAGUGCCACAGUGACGUAGCCUUUCCAGAAAUGGAAAGGGUGGAACGGGUAAACCCCACGAGCGAGAAACCCAAAUAAUGGUAGGGGCGCUUUCUCUGAGGAAUUGAACGAGGAGAAGGACAGAUUCCUAAGUGAAUCUGUAGAUAGAUGAUUACCACCUAAGUACGAGACGAAAGUCGUUUGCAGUACUAUGGUACAGAACAUGGCUUACAGAA
rnacentral:RNase_P_RNA from 1 species